rnacentral:rRNA from 1 species
GUCCACGCCGUAACGUUGGCACUAGGUGUGGACUCUAUCGACGGGUUCCGUGCCGUAGCUAACGCAUUAAGUGCCCGCCUGGGAGUACGGCCGCAAGGCUAAACUCAAGGAAUUGACGGGCCCGCACAAGCGGCGGAGCAUGUGGCUUAAUUCGAUGCAACGCGAAGAACCUUACCUGGGCUGAACUAUGCGGGAAAAGCAGCAGAGAUGCUGUGUCCUUCGGGUCCGCGAUAGGUGGUGCAUGGCUGUCGU